GUUACACGUUAGCAAUGUUCACGUAUGGACCACAGCCUUGUCAAGCUGUCACAUCAUUGUUAUUUCACUGUCACCUAAUAGCUAUUGGCUAUCAACGUAGAAAUGGGUACUUUCUUUCUUUCUUCUAUUUUUUAAUUAUCUUGAUCAUUUGUCUAGGAAGCUGAGGCAUGCCCUCCUCUUCCCUCCCAUAGAAUGGGCUUCAUAAAGGAUGCGCUGUGUACAUCUGUUGGAGCCCCUGGAACGGACCACCCUUACGAGGCAUCCUUCCAUCAAGAAAGUGCUGUCAGCAGGACCUCCAGAUCAGAUUAAAAUGCCUCCACGUAGAAGGCCAGUUAAAUAACUAGCUUUGUUCGUCCCUUAGGAUGUGCGUGCAUGUGAAAACUUUCCAAAUGGCGUGGUCCUUUGAAAGCAUUUCCCUGUUCUGCAUGGAGAGCUGCUCUAGCUAGGACUAUGUCAUAAAGUGCUGUCCUGCGUGAGUCUGACCGGGUUUUUUGAGGAGAAUGGUUUCCAAACCAUUUUUGAAGUUGGCUUAGAGACCUACUUGAGCUGCGUUGCGCCAGUACGUUUCUGGGAUUACUGCAUUGCAAAUGCAAGGAAUGACUGGACGAAUCCCCCAAGGCUGGCUGAUCGUCUCGGAUUGAUGCUGUGAGUGAAAGCUGAGCUUGUUCAUAUGGGUUUUGCUUGCCCCGCCUCAGCUGUGCUGGGUCCCUGAGCUGCUUUCGGUGUGGGUCUUUCUGCAGCUCACCUGCCUUCCACUCAUGUCCAGCAUCAGGCUCUCCUACCAAGAAAAGCUGCUCCCCUGAAUGAGCCCUUCUUCUGUGCACGCCUUAUCUUCUAACAGCUAAACAACGACAGUAAAGCAUAUGAAAUCUUCUGACGAGAACAGCGGACUAUGAGAGCACACCAAGUAACGGCUACUGCGAGCAAGUGUGAGGAAUGGGAUGAGAAGGGAUCAUCCUGGGCUCGGACAUGUGUGCUACCGAAACAAGACCAAAGAGACGUGAGAGGAAAGCUCCUGAACACUGCUAGAUGCAUCGGACCGAAAGCUGCUGCCAAGAGAUUUUGGUAGGCUAAAGAAGAUGGACGUUUGGAAAAAACAGAGUAUAAGAUGCUAGGCAAAAGUUAAGAAAAUAGUCGGCAAGGCCUGUAGUUUUUGUUUUCCCUCGUUGCUUCUCUGCAGAGACAGGUUUUCUUC
rnacentral:lncRNA from 1 species